AUGGCGCCCAAGAAGAAGCAGCCGGUCUCGAAGCAGAAGCACAAGCCCAAGCCCUCCGCACCCACCUCCUCAUCAUCCGCCGCGCCGCGCCUCGAGAUCUCGUCGGAGAACGAACGCCGCCUCCGACAACUCCUCCUCAACUCCUCCACAGCCGGCGCCCCCUCCCCCGCGCCCCUAGAUGCUCCAGGGGCGCGUGCCGAAUCGAGGGAGCAGAAGGGGCGGCGUCUGCGCGGGGUCUACGACAAGCUGGCCCUGGAGGGCUUCUCUUCCUCGCAAAUCGAGCAGGCUCUCUCCGCUAUACCAGAUUCGGCGACGUUUGAGUCGGCGCUGGAUUGGCUGUGCUUUAAUCUGCCCGGCGACGAGCUCCCCCUCAAGUUCGCCAGCGCCGCCGCCUCCUCUUCUCGUGCAGGAGCAGAGGGUUCGGUUAAGGUAGUAUCAGCAGCGAAGGAUAAUUGGGUGCCUCAGAGUCGUGGGCCUGUGGAGGAGGCAAAGGUUAGCACUGAGGGGUUGGAAAUUAAAAUUGGGAGACGGCAAGAAGAGGAUGUCACAUUGGACGAUGGGCGGUCAUCGCAAGCUGCAUGGAUCCUGCAGUACAUGGAACAGCAAGAGGAGGAGGAGGAUGCAAAUUCUAAUGAUUCCUCCACAUGGGAAGAUCGUUUAGCCGCAAGUUUUGAAGUUGCUGAAACAAAGCCAAGUAGGAGAAAAAAAAAGGGUAAAAAGGAGAACUCCAAAAAUGGAAGCUCAAAGGAAAAUAUAAGCCAAUCUGUAUCUCCUGUGUUGCCUAAUUCGGAAAUUGCAAGUGUUGAGGAUGGUCAGAUUGACCUGGGUGCAAGUGAGAACAAAUCUCCCAGUCUUGUCCAUAUUGAUGAAGGAUCCAAUUUACAAAAGGAAGUUCCUAAAAAUGCCGGUGAAACUUGCACAAAGGAGGUUGAAGAAGAGGAAGUAGAGCUUGAUAACUUGUUUUUUGAAGACUCGUCUGCUUGGGAGGUUGUGGCCCCUGAAAUCUUGAGACAGCAACAAAUAGAGAAAUUAUCACAUGACGGUUAUGGCCAUCUUCUUGGGAACAUAGAUGAUGUAUGGAAAAAGGGAGAUUGUGGUAAAAUGCCAAAAGCUAUUCUACAGAAGUUCUGUCAAAAACUUGGUUGGGAUGCACCGAAGUAUAGUAAAACAUCAGAAAAGGAUGGUAAAUUUAUAUAUGCUGUUAAUGUAUUGCGUGGUUCUACUGGCCGUGGUAAAAGUCGGAAGGCUGGAGGUUUGACGAAAAUUGAGUUACCUGAGAAAGAUGAAGAAUACGUAUCUGUUCAGGAAGCACAAAGUAGAGUGGCGACAUUUGCUCUAUAUCAACUGUUUGCUGAUCUUCCACUACGUCAAUUGCUUAUUGAACCAUACUCAUCACUUGUUUUAAGAUGGCAAGAAGGUGAAUUAGAAUUUUCAUCAACAUCAAGGGUGCUGGAUACCGAGGAUAGUCGAAGAGCUGGGUUUGUGGAUAUGUUAUUGGAUAUGGACGCACAUAAUACUCUUCCAUAUCAAAUCAGAGGUGCUCCUGAGGGCAGCGCAUCCAUUGACUCUCCGAAUGAUAAGGAGACCAAUUCUGUCUAUGAGAAGGAAGAGGCAACUUUGCUGAACCGUGCAGGAUCAAGACCAGAGCAAGCAGAGAGCACAGCUUUGAAAAAGCAGUUGGAACACAAAAGGAAGUUGCCCAAGUAUCUGAAAAUGCUGGGAGCAAGAGCUUCUUUACCAAUCGCUAGACUGAAAAACCAUUUCCUACAGUUACUGAAAGAGAAUGAUGUAAUUGUUGUCAGCGGAGAAACUGGAUGCGGGAAAACAACUCAGGUGCCACAGUUUAUUUUGGAUGAUAUGAUUGAGUCUGAGCUUGGUGGUAAUUGCAACAUUGUUUGCACACAACCUAGGAGGAUAGCGGCCAUUUCGGUAGCAGAAAGAGUGUCUGAUGAAAGGUGUGAAUCUUCACCUGGCUCUAAAGAUUCCUUGGUUGGAUAUCAAGUUCGUCUCGACAGUGCUCGGAAUGAGAGAACAAAGCUUCUGUUCUGUACAACUGGUAUCCUUCUGAGAAAGUUAUCUGGAAACAAAGACUUAAGUGAUGUUACUCAUGUUGUAGUAGAUGAAGUACAUGAACGCACUAUUUUGAGCGACUUCUUACUGAUUGUUCUUAAGAGUCUUGUUGAAAAACGCUCUAAUCAACCAGGAAGAAAGCUGAAAGUGAUUCUCAUGUCUGCAACUGUUGAUUCAAGCCUAUUCGCACGAUAUUUUGGAGAUUGCCCUGUGAUUAGUGUUGAAGGAAGAACACACCCAGUUUCAACUCACUUCCUUGAAGAUGUUUAUGAGAAAAUGGAGUACUGUCUUGCUUUGGAUUCUCCUGCAUCAGGAGCAUACUUCGCACAGCAUGGAGAAAAGUGGAAGCAUGCUAGUAGCUCAGUGAAUAACCGGAGAGGAAUGAAGAACCUUGUCAUGUCCUCAUGGGGGGACGAGUCAAUGCUUUCUGAAAAUUAUGUUAAUCCUCACUAUAGCUCUGAUUGCUAUCAGUCAUACAGUGAAAGGACCAACCUGAAUCUAAAACGCUUAAACGAAGAUGUCAUUGAUUUUGAUCUGCUGGAAGACUUAAUAUGCUAUAUUGACGAGAACUGCCCCUUAGGCGCUGUCCUAGUAUUUCUUCCUGGAGUUGCAGAGAUCGAAAUGCUGAUUGAUAGAUUAUCUGCUUCAGUUAGAUUCAAAGGGGCAUCAUCUGAUUGGAUCCUUCCUUUGCAUUCAAUGCUUUCACCCACUGAUCAAAGGAAGGUGUUCCAGUCUCCACCAGAAAACAUUCGCAAGGUUAUUCUUGCCACGGACAUAGCGGAGACUAGCAUUACAAUUGAUGAUGUUGUAUAUGUAGUUGAUACUGGAAAACACAAAGAGAAUCGUUAUAACCCACAGAAGAAAAUGUCAAGCAUAGUAGAAGAUUGGAUUUCUCGUGCAAAUGCAAAACAGAGACGGGGACGAGCUGGUCGUGUGAGGCCUGGGUUGUGUUUCUGCCUUUAUACUCACCAUCGUUUUGAAAAACUGAUGCGGCCAUUUCAGGUGCCUGAGAUGCUGCGGAUGCCAUUGACUGAGCUGUGUUUGCAAAUAAAAUCACUUCAUCUGGGUGACAUAAAAUCAUUCCUACUAAAGGCUGUAGAGCCCCCAAAAGAAGAAGCUAUCUCCUCUGCAAUUGACUUGUUAUUUAAGGUUGGAGCCUUUGAAGGACAUGAAGAGUUAUCACCUCUUGGCUAUCAUUUAGCAAAACUACCUGUUGAUGUUUUGAUUGGCAAGAUGAUGCUCUAUGGGGCUAUCUUUGGCUGCUUAUCACCAAUUCUUUCUGUUGCUGCUUUUCUGAGUUAUAAAUCCCCUUUCAUCUCUCCAAAAGAUGAGAAGCAAAAUGUAGAGAAAGCAAAGGCUGCAUUGUUGAAUGAAAAUCUUGAUGGGUCUACUUCUAUAAUAGAUAACAAACAAUCAGAUCAUUUGUUAAUGGUUAUUGCAUACAACAAGUGGUCCCGCAUACUGCAAGAGCAUGGAGCUAGAUCUGCUCAUCAGUUUUGCCGUUCAUUCUACUUGAACAGUACAGUGAUGUACAUGAUCAGGGACAUGCGUCUACAGUAUGGCUCAUUGUUAGCAGACAUUGGACUUGUGGAUCUUCCUAAAGAUAAUCUGAAUCAAAUGAAUGGGAAUAGAAAAAGCAAUCUUGAGAGUUGGUUUGCCAAUAUAUCUCUUCCGUUCAACUUAUAUGCUGGCUACACCUCAGUUAUCAAGUCGGUCAUAAGUGCAGGUCUAUACCCUAAUGUUGCAGCAACUCUGGAGGGUGUUGAUCCAGGAGCUUUGGGUGGCAGAAAGCCAUCUGAUGUUCUGUUUGGUAAGGAUCGUCCUCGAUGGUAUGAUGGAAGGCGAGAAGUUCAAAUACACCCAUCGUCUGUGAAUCACAGCUUGAAGUCAGUGCAAUACCCAUUUCUGGUGUUCCUUGAAAAGGUUGAGACUAGUAAGGUGUUUCUACGUGAUACCAGUGUCAUUUCCCCCUACUCACUCCUUCUGUUUGGUGGUUCAAUGGUAAUCCAACACCAGGCUGGAGUCGUUAUUAUAGACGGAUGGCUAAGGUUAACUGCUGCUGCACAGACUGCUGUUUUAUUCAAGCAACUUCGCAUUACACUUGAUGCUGUUCUGAAAGAAUUGACAAGAAAGCCGGAGAUGGCAACUUUUGUUGACAACGAAGUGGUCAGAUCCAUCAUUCAUUUGCUGUUGGAAGAAGAAAAGGCCCAACAAGCAUGA
rnacentral:rRNA from 1 species